rnacentral:rRNA from 1 species
UACAGAGGUGGCAAGCGUUGUUCGGAAUUACUGGGCGUAAAGGGCGCGUAGGCGGUUCGUUAAGUCCUGUGUGAAAUCCCCCGGCUCAACUGGGGAACUGCACAGGAAACUAGCGGGCUUGAGUUCGGGAGAGGGAAGCGGAAUUCCGGGUGUAACGGUGAAAUGCGUAGAUAUCUGGAGGAACACCGGUGGCGAAGGCGGCAUCCUGGACCGGCAUUGACGCUGAACAGCGAAAGCCAGGGGAGCAAACGGG